rnacentral:rRNA from 1 species
UGGGGAAUAUUGGACAAUGGGCGCAAGCCUGAUCCAGCCAUGCCGCGUGAGUGAUGAAGGCCCUAGGGUUGUAAAGCUCUUUCACCGGUGAAGAUAAUGACGGUAACCGGAGAAGAAGCCCCGGCUAACUUCGUGCCAGCAGCCGCGGUAAUACGAAGGGGGCUAGCGUUGUUCGGAUUUACUGGGCGUAAAGCGCACGUAGGCGGACUUUUAAGUCAGGGGUGAAAUCCCGGGGCUCAACCCCGGAACUGCCUUUGAUACCGGAAGUCUUGAGUAUGGUAGAGGUGAGUGGAAUUCCGAGUGUAGAGGUGAAAUUCGUAGAUAUUCGGAGGAACACCAGUGGCGAAGGCGGCUCACUGGACCAUUACUGACGCUGAGGUGCGAAAGCGUGGGGAGCAAACAGG